GGGGUCCCGGCCUGGGGCUCGGGCGGGGCGCGUCCUGGGCUCAGGCCUCGCCGGAAAGUCCGCUGGAGAGUCUGCGGCGCGCGGUCGCACCGAGUGGCCCCUGAUGGGUGGACAGGUAAGCGCUUCUGGCAACUUCCAGAGCUGCGGUACAAAUGCAGACUGGAUGUCGGCGCUGUGCCCCCUGCUCUGGGAUGUGCCUCUGCACCACCUGUCCAUCCCAGGAGACAGAAGGGGAGACACAGACGCAGAGGAGAAGCCACGAGAAGACAGAGG